UACGUAGGGUGCGAGCGUUAAUCGGAAUUACUGGGCGUAAAGCGUGCGCAGGCGGUUAUGUAAGACAGAUGUGAAAUCCCCGGGCUCAACCUGGGAACUGCAUUUGUGACUGCAUAGCUAGAGUACGGUAGAGGGGGAUGGAAUUCCGCGUGUAGCAGUGAAAUGCGUAGAUAUGCGGAGGAACACCGAUGGCGAAGGCAAUCCCCUGGGCCUGCACUGACGCUCAUGCACGAAAGCGUGGGGAGCAAACAGG
rnacentral:rRNA from 1 species